rnacentral:lncRNA from 1 species
AGAGCCGAGGUUGAGUCUUUACCACAGGGAGGUCAGUUUUGAAGAUUCUGAAGACAGUUGAAGGGAAUAUCUCUUUAUUUUAAGAGCAAUAUCCAGGCCUUUGCUUAGGGGUAGGUCAGCAAACCAUUCUUUAGUCCAGGAGUUUAUUAGAAAAUGCAAUUUAAAAAUAACAUCGCCGUGGGCUUGCCAAAAGCUCAUCUGCAGGUUUGGGGACAUCACAUUAAACAUCAUGGAUUUUGAUGACUGCCCUCUCUGCUUCCAGGGGAAUGAUUUUCAAUCGUCUCUGGAGAGAGGAGUGCGUGAAGGAUGGGAUCCAGUGUUGUUAAUUGAGUUCAGUGAGUCUCAAAUUGGCUGCCCACUGGAAUUAUUUGAUUGGUGAUGGAAAGUUAUAAUCCUCAGGACAAUGAAAUUGUAAACUCCACCAGUGACUGUCAAUAAUUGAAAGUGUUCCAGAAGUUACAGCAUCUGCCUAUCCUGUUUUAAGGAGAUCUGCUCCCCAGUGAGAAAGCGGCCCAGUGUUUUGUUGGUUCGAAUCCUGGGCACGGACAUGGCACUGCUCAUCAAGCCACGCUGAGGCAGCGUCCCACAUGCCACAACUAGAAGGACCCACAACGAAGAAUAUACAACUAUGUACUGGGGGCUUUGGGGAGAAAAAGGAAAAAAUAAAAUCUUUAAAAAAAAAAGUUUGAAUUAAGGGUUUAUGCCCACAAUGUAUAUUUAUACUCAUUUUAUUUUGUAAAAAAAGAAAUGCAUAUUCAUACCAAAUUAGGAGGUGAAGCCUAGAAGUCAGAAAUUUAAAUGACUCUUCUCAUUGGAAACUCCCUCAGGCCAUGAUGAUUGAUUACUCCUAAUUUCCUUUUGUGAGAAAAUGUCAGGCAGAGAUUCUUAACAGAGUUUGAGCUUUAAGUGUUUUGACGGAUCAGUCACUAAAGUUGGAAUAGAACGUUUAGAGUUUGCUAUACAAAAACAUUUUAAAGCCAGCUAAUUUUUAUCAAACACUUUGGAAAAUAUUACAAUAAAAGUUAUUCAUUGAAAACUUUAGUGACUGAAGCUUCAGUGUAUAUCGAUGCUGUCAAUUAAUUGGUUUUGUGACUUUGCAGGGAAAAUAACAGAGAAGUGAAAACUCUGUAAAUAUAUGACUAAUUAUUUCCAAUAUC